rnacentral:rRNA from 1 species
UACAGAGGGUGCGAGCGUUAAUCGGAAUUACUGGGCGUAAAGGGUGCGUAGGUUGUUUGUUAAGAGAGGUGUGAAACCCCCGGGCUUAACCUGGGACGUGCACUUGAGACUGGCAAACUAGAGUCGAGUAGAGGGGAGUGGAAUUUCCAGUGUAGCGGUGAAAUGCGUAGAUAUUGGAAGGAACACCGGUGGCGAAGGCGGCUCCCUGGACUUAGACUGACGCUGAGGCACGAAAGCGUGGGGAUCAAACAGG